rnacentral:rRNA from 1 species
UACGUAGGGUGCAAGCGUUGUCCGGAAUUAUUGGGCGUAAAGAGCUCGUAGGCGGUUUGUCGCGUCUGCUGUGAAAACCCGAGGCUCAACCUCGGGCCUGCAGUGGGUACGGGCAGCUAGAGUGCGGGAGGGGAGGAUGGAAUUCCUGGUGUAGCGGUGGAAUGCGCAGAUAUCAGGAGGAACACCGAUGGCGAAGGCAGUUCUCUGGGCCGUAACUGACGCUGAGGAGCGAAAGCGUGGGGAGCGAACAGG